GACGAACGCUGGCGGCGUGCUUAACACAUGCAAGUCGAACGGAAAGGCCCUGCUUUUGUGGGGUGCUCGAGUGGCGAACGGGUGAGUAACACGUGAGUAACCUGCCCUUGACUUUGGGAUAACUUCAGGAAACUGGGGCUAAUACCGGAUAGGAGCUCCUGCUGCAUGGUGGGGGUUGGAAAGUUUCGGCGGUUGGGGACGGACUCGCGGCUUAUCAGCUUGUUGGUGGGGUAGUGGCUUACCAAGGCUUUGACGGGUAGCCGGCCUGAGAGGGUGACCGGCCACAUUGGGACUGGGAUACGGCCCAGACUCCUACGGGAGGCAGCAGUGGGGAAUAUUGCACAAUGGGCGGAAGCCUGAUGCAGCAACGCCGCGUGCGGGAUGACGGCCUUCGGGUUGUAAACCGCUUUCGCCUGUGACGAAGCGUGAGUGACGGUAAUGGGUAAAGAAGCACCGGCUAACUACGUG
rnacentral:rRNA from 1 species